rnacentral:rRNA from 1 species
UUAAGUGACUAAGCGUACACGGUGGAUGCCUUGGCAGUCAGAGGCGAUGAAAGACGUAGUAACUUGCGAUAAGCCCAGAUUAGGUAGUAACAACCAUUUGAGUCUGGGAUUUCUGAAUGGGGAAACCCACGUGCAUAAGCACGUAUCCUUACCUGAAUACAUAGGGUAAGGAGGCGAACCGGGGGAACUGAAACAUCUAAGUACCCCGAGGAAAAGAAAUCAACCGAGAUUCCGAAAGUAGCGGCGAGCGAAAUUGGACUAGCCCUUAAGCUUUACACGCGUUAGACGAACGGUCUGGAAAGUCCGACGAUACAGGGUGAUAGUCCCGUAGUUGACGACGUGUGUUCAGUGAAAUCGAGUAGGGCGGGACACGUGAUAUCCUGUCUGAAUAUGGGGGGACCAUCCUCCAAGGCUAAAUACUACUGACUGACCGAUAGUGAACCAGUACCGUGAGGGAAAGGCGAAAAGAACCCCUGUGAGGGGAGUGAAAUAGAACCUGAAACCGUGUACGUACAAGCAGUAGGAGCAGGCUUUGUCCUGUGACUGCGUACCUUUUGUAUAAUGGGUCAGCGACUUAUAUUCAGUGGCAAGGUUAACCAUCUAGGGGAGCCGUAGGGAAACCGAGUCUUAACUGGGCGUUCAGUCUCUGGAUAUAGACCCGAAACCAGGUGAUCUAGCCAUGGGCAGGUUGAAGGUUGAGUAACAUCAACUGGAGGACCGAACCGACUAAUGUUGAAAAAUUAGCGGAUGACUUGUGGCUAGGGGUGAAAGGCCAAUCAAACCUGGAGAUAGCUGGUUCUCCCCGAAAGCUAUUUAGGUAGCGCCUCGGACGAAUACUACUGGGGGUAGAGCACUGUUAAGGCUAGGGGGUCAUCCCGACUUACCAACCCUUUGCAAACUCCGAAUACCAGUAAGUACUAUCCGGGAGACACACGGCGGGUGCUAACGUCCGUCGUGGAGAGGGAAACAACCCAGACCGCCAGCUAAGGUCCCAAAUUACUACUAAGUGGGAAACGAUGUGGGAAGGCUCAGACAGCCAGGAUGUUGGCUUAGAAGCAGCCAUCAUUUAAAGAAAGCGUAAUAGCUCACUGGUCGAGUCGGCCUGCGCGGAAGAUGUAACGGGGCUAAGUAGUAAACCGAAGCUGCGGCAAUAUACUUUUGUAUAUUGGGUAGGGGAGCGUUCUGUAAGCGGUUGAAGGUGUGUGGUAACGCAUGCUGGACGUAUCAGAAGUGCGAAUGCUGACAUGAGUAACGAUAAAGGGGGUGAAAAACCUCCUCGCCGGAAGACCAAGGGUUCCUGUCCAACGUUAAUCGGGGCAGGGUAAGUCGACCCCUAAGGCGAGGCCGAAAGGCGUAGUCGAUGGGAAACGGGUUAAUAUUCCCGUACUUCUUACAAUUGCGAUGGGGGGACGGAGAAGGCUAGGUGGGCCUGGCGACGGUUGUCCAGGUUCAAGUGCGUAGGCUUAAGAGUUAGGUAAAUCCGGCUCUUUCUAAGGCUGAGACACGACGUCGAGCACCUACGGGUGUGAAGUCAUUGAUGCCAUGCUUCCAGGAAAAGCCUCUAAGCUUCAGAUUGUAAGGAAUCGUACCCCAAACCGACACAGGUGGUCGGGUAGAGAAUACCAAGGCGCUUGAGAGAACUCGGGUGAAGGAACUAGGCAAAAUGGUACCGUAACUUCGGGAGAAGGUACGCUCUUGAUGGUGAAGUCCCUUACGGAUGGAGCUGACGAGAGUCGCAGAUACCAGGUGGCUGCAACUGUUUAUUAAAAACACAGCACUGUGCAAAAUCGUAAGAUGACGUAUACGGUGUGACGCCUGCCGGUGCCGGAAGGUUAAUUGAUGGGGUUAGACUUCGGUCGAAGCUCUUGAUCGAAGCCCGGUAAACGGCGGCCGUAACUAUAACGGUCCUAAGGUAGCGAAAUUCCUUGUCGGGUAAGUUCCGACCUGCACGAAUGGCGUAAUGAUGGCCACGCUGUCUCCACCCGAGACUCAGUGAAAUUGAAAUCGCUGUGAAGAUGCAGUGUACCCGCGGCUAGACGGAAAGACCCCGUGAACCUUUACUACAGCUUGGCACUGAACAUUGACCCUACAUGUGUAGGAUAGGUGGGAGGCUUUGAAGCACGUACGCCAGUAUGUGUGGAGCCGUCCUUGAAAUACCACCCUUGUAGUGUUGAUGUUCUAACGUCGACCCCUUAUCGGGGUUGCGGACAGUGCCUGGUGGGUAGUUUGACUGGGGCGGUUCCUCCAAAGAGUAACGGAGGAGCACGAAGGUGGGCUAAUCACGGUUGGACUCGUGAGGUUAGUGCAAUGGCAUAAGCCCGCUUGACUGCGAGAAUGACAAUUCGAGCAGGUGCGAAAGCAGGUCAUAGUGAUCCGGUGGUUUGAAUGGAAGGGCCAUCGCUCAACGGAUAAAAGGUACUCCGGGGAUAACAGGCUGAUACCGCCCAAGAGUUCAUAUCGACGGCGGUGUUUGGCACCUCGAUGUCGGCUCAUCACAUCUGGGGCUGAAGUCGGUCCAAGGGUAUGGCUGUUCGCCAUUUAAAGUGGUACGCGAGCUGGGUUAGAACGUCGUGAGGACGUUCGGUCCCUAUCUGCCGUGGGCGUUGGAAGAUUGAAGGGGGCUGCUCCUAGUACGAGAGGACCGGAGUGGACGAACCUCUGGUGUUCGGGUUGUGUGUCGCCAGACGCUUGCCCGGUAGCUAAGUUCGGAAUCGAUAACCGCUGAAAGCAUCUAGGGGGAGCGAGCCCUGAGAUGAGUCUUCCCUGAUACUUUAAGUAUCCUAAAGGGUUGUCGGAGACUACGACGUUGAUAGGUCAGGUGUGUAAGUGCUGUGAGGCAUUGAGCUAACUGAUACUAAUUGCCCGUGAGGCUUAACAUA